rnacentral:rRNA from 1 species
AACGCUAGCUACAGGCUUAACACAUGCAAGUCGAGGGGCAGCAUGAUUGAAGCUUGCUUCAAUUGAUGGCGACCGGCGCACGGGUGAGUAACACGUAUCCAACCUUCCGUACACUCAGGGAUAGCCUUUCGAAAGAAAGAUUAAUACCUGAUGGUAUCUUAAGCACACAUGUAAUUAAGAUUAAAGAUUUAUCGGUGUACGAUGGGGAUGCGUUCCAUUAGGUAGUAGGCGGGGUAACGGCCCACCUAGCCUACGAUGGAUAGGGGUUCUGAGAGGAAGGUCCCCCACAUUGGAACUGAGACAUGGUCCAAACUCCUACGGGAGGCAGCAGUGAGGAAUAUUGGUCAAUGGACGAGAGUCUGAACCAGCCAAGUAGCGUGAAGGAUGAAGGUCCUACGGAUUGUAAACUUCUUUUAUAAGGGAAUAAAACCUCCCACGUGUGGGAGCCUGUAUGUACCUUAUGAAUAAGCAUCGGCUAACUCCGUGCCAGCAGCCGCGGUAAUACGGAGGAUGCGAGCGUUAUCCGGAUUUAUUGGGUUUAAAGGGAGCGCAGACGGGUCGUUAAGUCAGCUGUGAAAGUUUGGGGCUCAACCUUAAAAUUGCAGUUGAUACUGGCGUCCUUGAGUGCGGUUGAGGUGUGCGGAAUUCGUGGUGUAGCGGUGAAAUGCUUAGAUAUCACGAAGAACUCCGAUUG